UAGCUAAUAGUAUACCGUUAAUUAUUUUUCAAUGGUUGCAUUUUUAUUCUCUCCAUAUUCAUUUUGUCUUUCCCCUCUCCCUCUCCUUCCCGUUUUCCGGUCAAACGACCAUUGUUUUUGGCGAGUGAGGCUCUAAAAUCAUCUAUUCGUCGCAAAGAGUUCGAUUCAAGCCUUGGUUUGCGCGAUUUGAGCCCGGAUCGAGAGAAAGUUCGACCGAAAGGGUUUGGCGCCGUCGCAGCAACUUUCCCAGCCAUUCACGCCGUUUUAGGCGACCUAAAACUUCGAGGUUCGAUUUGCCGGCCAACGUGCACGGCUGCCGGCGGCUACGGACCAGUGGCCGGUUGCUGGGGACCCUAAAUGCAGAAUCUCGGGCUCUUCACGUAGAACACGAUGAGGAAAAAAAGGCUGGCGCCUGGCUCUGCUCCACCAAGUGUAGGACAAUAGUGCACGCCAGGUUAGGGUAAAUGUCCGAAAAAGCGAAGAACGUGAUAUGAUGUGACAACGUGGGCAUAUAUUUGUGACUUAAUGGCUUAAUAUUAAUGAGAUGAGAUUAUACCCAGUUUGAGUUUAGAGCGGUUUCUGGAAGCUCUUGUUUAACUUCUUAAGACAAAGGAGCAACUUGGUUAUGUUGAUAAAUGCAGCCCAAAAGUUAUACUGCUAGUUUUAUGGCUUCUGGUAACUAGUUCUUUUCACCUAUGCUGUCUAAGUUGUAUGUUUAUUGGUCCAAUGGUACAACCUUCGUGUUUAAUUAGAUGCAAAAUCAUAUUAUGUUCUAAGUUAGACGUCCAAAUAUAAUUUACCCAUAAUAAUCACACCAUUAGUAAAAUAUUUUGAACUCAAAAGUAUAACAAAGUAAUUGUCUUCAUUAAUCACAUAAUUAUAAUGGUCUUAAUAAUUUAAUCA